AGAAUCGCUUGAACCCAGGAGGCGGAAGGUGAGGUGGCAGUGAGCCGAGAUUGUGCCAUUGCACUCCAGCCUGGGCAACAAGA
rnacentral:snRNA from 1 species